GGGAAUAUGGCACAAUGGGCGCAAGCCUGAUGCAGCCAUGCCGCGUGUAUGAAGAAGGCCUUCGGGUUGUAAAGUACUUUCAGCGGGGAGGAAGGGAGUAAAGUUAAUACCUUUGCUCAUUGACGUUACCCGCAGAAGAAGCACCGGCUAACUCCGUGCCAGCAGCCGCGGUAAUNCGGAGGGUGCAAGCGUUAAUCGGAAUUACUGGGCGUAAAGCGCACGCAGGCGGUUUGUUAAGUCAGAUGUGAAAUCCCCGGGCUCAACCUGGGAACUGCAUCUGAUACUGGCAAGCUUGAGUCUCGUAGAGGGGGGUAGAAUUCCAGGUGUAGCGGUGAAAUGCGUAGAGAUCUGGAGGAAUACCGGUGGCGAAGGCGGCCCCCUGGACGAAGACUGACGCUCAGGUGCGAAAGCGUGGGGAGCAAACAGGAUUAGAUACCCUGGUAGUCCACGCCGUAAACGAUGUCGACUUGGAGGUUGUGCCCUUGAGGCGUGGCUUCCGGAGCUAACGCGUUAAGUCGACCGCCUGGGGAGUACGGCCGCAAGGUUAAAACUCAAAUGAAUUGACGGGGCAGAGUUUGAUCAUGGCUCAGAAACUCAAAUGAAUUGACGGGGAGGAGAGUUUGAUUCUGGCUCAGAAACUCAAAUGAAUUGACGGGGACUAGAGUUUGAUUCUGGCUCAGAUGAAUUGACGGGGAAACUCAAAUGAAUUGACGGGGAAACUCAAAUGAAUUGACGGGGAAACUCAAAUGAAUUGACGGGGUUCAGAAACUCAAAUGAAUUGACGGGAGAGUUUGAUUCUGGCUCAGAAACUCAAAUGAAUUGAC
rnacentral:rRNA from 1 species